rnacentral:rRNA from 1 species
CGUAGACUAGGUGAAUCAUCGAAUCUUUGAACGCACCUUGCACCGGCAGAGUCCAUCUGCCGGUAUACCUGUUUGAGCAUCAUUUGCAUUUAUCCGCGGAGCAAUAUUCGUAUUGUUUGGCGGGACUUGGGAUCCAAUUACCAAUUGGUGGUUGCUUCCUCAAAUGCAGGGCGAACGCAGCGACGCCGGUGCGCCGAGUGAGGAUAUUUGCGCAAGCAAACGAACCGCGAGACGCGACGGGAGAAACUGUGCAAGCGCUUAAAGAGGAGGGAGGAGGGAGGACGGAAAGAAGACGAAGCGAUCACCGUUUCAUCCUUCUUACUUCCGCCCUUCUUCUUCUUCUUCUUCUCAGAACAAGUGUGAUCUCAAAUCAGGCAAGACGACCCGCUGAACCUAAGCAUAUCAAUAAGCGGAGG